CCCGACCGGCCAGCCAGAAUUGACAAGGUACUCAGAAGCUCUGUCUGCAACCAGGAGACCUGGUCCUUCGCUGCCCAGCAGGACAUGCUUUGGAGACAUUCUGUGUGGAGCCGGAAUUAUGCAUAAUGAAACCUUACUCACUGGAACAUGAAGGCUGGGCUAUUUUUCAGCUGGAACUCACCAGU